rfam:Mus musculus chromosome 13, GRC primary reference assembly.
ACAAAGGCUCUUUUCAGAGCCAUUCACUUAAUUCAGUAAAGUGCUG